rnacentral:rRNA from 1 species
ACGUUCAUCGGCGUAGAGUGAGUCGGCCCCUAAGGCGAGGCAGAGAUGCGUAGUUGAUGGGAAACAGGUCAAUAUUCCUGUACCGAUGUGUAGUGCGAUGUGGGGACGGAGAAGGUUAACUCAGCCAACUGUUGGAUAUGUUGGUUCAAGCUUGUAGUCGUGCCUGGUAGGUAAAUCCGCCGGGCUUAGAUGAGGGGUGAUAACGAGGCUGCUUGCAGCCGAAGUGAGUGAUACCCUGCUUCCAGGAAAAGCCACUAAGCUUCAGCUAUACACGACCGUACCGCAAACCGACACUGGUGCGCGAGAUGAGUAUUCUAAGGCGCUUGAGAGAACUCAGGAGAAGGAACUCGGCAAAUUGACACCGUAACUUCGGAAGAAGGUGUACCUUUAGUAGGUGAAGGGAUUUACUCCUGGAGCCCAAUGAGGUUGCAAAAAAUCGGUGGCUGCGACUGUUUAUUAAAAACACAGCACUCUGCAAACACGAAAGUGGACGUAUAGGGUGUGACGCCUGCCCGGUGCUGGAAGAUUAAAUGAUGGGGUGCAAGCUCUUUAUUGAAGUCCCAGUAAACGGCGGCCGUAACUAUAACGGUCCUAAGGUAGCGAAAUUCCUUGUCGGGUAAGUUCCGACCUGCACGAAUGGCGUAACGAUGGCCACACUGUCUCCUCCUGAGACUCAGCGAAGUUGAAAUGUUUGUGAUGAUGCAAUCUCCCCGCGGAAAGACGGAAAGACCCCAUGAACCUUUACUGUAGCUUUGUAUUGGACUUUGAACAGAUCUGUGUAGGAUAGGUGGGAGGCUUUGAAGCAGGGUCGCUAGAUCUUGUGGAGCCAACGUUGAAAUACCACCCUGGUGUGUUUGAGGUUCUAACCUAGGUCCAUUAUCUGGAUCGGGGACAGUGCAUGGUAGGCAGUUUGACUGGGGCGGUCUCCUCCCAAAGCGUAACGGAGGAGUUCGAAGGUGCGCUAGUUACGGUCGGACAUCGUGACGAUAGUGCAAUGGCAUAAGCGUGCUUAACUGCGAGACUGACAAGUCGAGCAGAUGCGAAAGCAGGACAUAGUGAUCCGGUGGUUCUGUAUGGAAGGGCCAUCGCUCAACGGAUAAAAGGUACUCUGGGGAUAACAGGCUGAUACCGCCCAAGAGUUCAUAUCGACGGCGGUGUUUGGCACCUCGAUGUCGGCUCAUCUCAUCCUGGGGCUGUAGCCGGUCCCAAGGGUAUGGCUGUUCGCCAUUUAAAGAGGUACGUGAGCUGGGUUUAAAACGUCGUGAGACAGUUUGGUCCCUAUCUUCCGUGGGCGCUGCAGAUUUGAGGAAGCCUGCUCCUAGUACGAGAGGACCGGAGUGGACACACCUCUGGUGUAUCGGUUGUCACGCCAGUGGCAUUGCCGAGUAGCUAAGUGUGGAAGAGAUAACCGCUGAAAGCAUCUAAGCGGGAAACUCGUUUCAAGAUGAGAUCUGCCGGGGCCUUGAGCCCCCUAAAGAGUCGUU